rnacentral:rRNA from 1 species
GAUGAACGCUGGCGGCGUGCCUAAUACGUGCAAGUCGAGCGAACGGACGAGAAGCUUGCUUCUCUGAUGUUAGCGGCGGACGGGUGAGUAACACGUGGAUAACCUACCUAUAAGACUGGGAUAACUUCGGGAAACCGGAGCUAAUACCGGAUAAUAUUUUGAACCGCAUGGUUCAAAAGUGAAAGACGGUCUUGCUGUCACUUAUAGAUGGAUCCGCGCCGCAUUAGCUAGUUGGUAAGGUAACGGCUUACCAAGGCAACGAUGCAUAGCCGACCUGAGAGGGUGAUCGGCCACACUGGAACUGAGACACGGUCCAGACUCCUACGGGAGGCAGCAGUAGGGAAUCUUCCGCAAUGGGCGAAAGCCUGACGGAGCAACGCCGCGUGAGUGAUGAAGGUCUUCGGAUCGUAAAACUCUGUUAUUAGGGAAGAACAUAUGUGUAAGUAACUGUGCACAUCUUGACGGUACCUAAUCAGAAAGCCACGGCUAACUACGUG